rnacentral:rRNA from 1 species
AGUGAACGCUGGCGGUAGGCCUAACACAUGCAAGUCGAACGGCAGCACCGUAAUAGCUUGCUCUUACGGGUGGCGCGCGGCGGACGGGUGCGGAAUACACCGGAAUCUACUUUUUCGUGGGGGCUAACGUCGGGAAACUUACGCUAAUACCGCAUACGACCUACGGGUGAAAGCAGGCGAUCUUCGGACCUUGCGCGAUUGAAUGAGCCGAUGUCGGAUUAGCUAGUUGGCGGGGUAAAGGCCCAUCAAGGCGGCGAUCCGUAGCUCGCCUGAGAGGAUGAUCAGCCAGACUGUAACUGAGACAGGGCACACACUCCUGCACGAGGAAGCAGCGGGGAAUAUUACGGAAGGGGCGAGAGCCUAAUCCAGCCAUACCGGGUGGGUGAAGAAGGACUUCGGGUUGUAGAACCAUGUUGGUGGGAGAGAAAAGCAGCAGUUUAAUACGCCGCUGUACUGACGGUACCCAAAGAAUAAGCACCGGCUAACUUCGUG